rnacentral:rRNA from 1 species
GGAAAAGAAACUAACAAGGAUUCCCCUAGUAACUGCGAGUGAAGCGGGAAAAGCUCAAAUUUAAAAUCUGGCGGUCUUUGGCCGUCCGAGUUGUAAUCUAGAGAAGUAAUGCCCGUGCUGGACCGUGUAUAAGUCUCCUGGGAUGGGGCGUCAUAGAGGGUGAGAAUCCCGUCUUUGACACGGACUACCAGUGCAUUGUGGUAUGCUCUCAAAGAGUCGAGUUGUUUGGGAAUGCAGCUCAAAAUGGGUGGUAAAUUCCAUCUAAAGCUAAAUAUUGGCGAGAGACCGAUAGCGAACAAGUACCGUGAGGGAAAGAUGAAAAGAACUUUGGAAAGAGAGUUAAACAGUACGUGAAA